rnacentral:lncRNA from 1 species
GGAUGUCAGAUGCAGGUUCUAAGUACGUUGUGCUCUAGGUGCCGGACCGACCGACUGCGGUGGGCGCGGGUCCUUAAAUUUGCCUUUCUGGAGCUUUCAGCAGUUUAUGCUGCUAUUCGUAAUAAUGUCAUUGAUGGGAAGCACUUGUACAAGAGAAUCCUAUGAAUAAUACUAAAACUAGAAACUCUGUAUUAGGAAAUUGGGAUGCUGUGAGGUUGGUCAGGAAAGAACGAUGCAUAAUUUGACUUGUGCAAGGAUCAAGGAGAGCCAGAAAGGAUCUUAAAGGUAAUGUAGUAUCUAGAAGUGGAAGGAAUGGCCAGAAUGAAAGAAAGACUGGACUGAGUGCAUAAACAACAGCAACAAGAGCC